rnacentral:rRNA from 1 species
GACGAACGCUGGCGGCGUGCUUAACACAUGCAAGUCGAGCGAGGCCCCUCCUUCGGGAGGGUGUCCUAGCGGCGAACGGGUGAGUAACACGUGGGCAACCUGCCCUCAGCUCUGGGAUAACUCCGGGAAACCGGGGCUAAUACCGGAUACGACCUCCACGGGCAUCUGCGGAGGUGGAAAGUUUUUCGGCUGAGGAUGGGCCCGCGGCCUAUCAGCUAGUUGGUGGGGUAGUGGCCCACCAAGGCGACGACGGGUAGCCGGCCUGAGAGGGAGACCGGCCACACUGGGACUGAGACACGGCCCAGACUCCUACGGGAGGCAGCAGUGGGGAAUAUUGCGCAAUGGGCGAAAGCCUGACGCAGCGACGCCGCGUGAGGGACGAAGGCCUUCGGGUUGUAAACCUCUUUCAGCAGGGACGAAGCGAAAGUGACGGUACCUGCAGAAGAAGCACCGGCCAACUACGUG